GGUAUAAGGGUCAUUUCCUUUGAUAUAAGAUGGAAAUACAACCGAGGCCUAUGGACMUAAACCACCUUUCUGUGUGCCCCCGUGGCUGGAGUGCUCGAGUGGAGCUGCACGGACACGGCGCAGUCUGCAUGCACGGAUGUGAACGCAGGAACAGCGCCAGUGCAUGGGAAGGCUGCUUUUUCUGCCAGUGAAAAUGAGCAGACUGACCUGUUGAGGCACCGCAGUCCCACCACGGGGCUGCACACAGCAAGGUGCUGCUUUCUGAAGAACUCGGAACUAACUGGCACAGUAAAAUGAGCAGCGCUGAAAAGUUCAAGCAUCUUGUCCCGCCGACGGGAGAAACCAGAGCUGCAUCAUCACUGCCAUUUCCAUUUCUCCUUUGGUCUCAGGAGAAGGAAUCUAAGGAUGAAUUAGUGCAGCACGACCAGCAGCCCUGCAAGAAAACACCCUACAGGAAACCCACAGGUGACUUAUAGGCCACGCAGCUCAUUCUUCACCCUCAGUGGUAAGCAGGGCCAUAACAGGUCUGGGGAAAGCUGCUCCAUAUACCUGGAAACCAGUCUAAUUAAUUAUCCACCUGCCUGUGGAAUUUUGAAUCUAACAUUCUGUAUCUUAUAAAUAAAGAACAAAAAAAUUAAUUUCAGAUGAGAAUGUUUUAGUCUUGAAUCCUGCUUUUCUACCUCAUUUCAGAUAUGUUUGCCUUGCCCUUUGCUUUUGGGGACUUUUUACAUUUU